rnacentral:lncRNA from 12 species
UCCAAACAGCUGAAGACAUGAAUAACUGCUGAGCAUCCCCAGCACAGAGUACUAUUAACUGUUACACAAUUAUGGUAAUGAAACCUGCCAGCGGACUUUUCCACGUGAGGAACUCUGGCACUGUCAGGAGG